rnacentral:rRNA from 1 species
UACGUAGGGUCCAAGCGUUAUCCGGAAUCACUGGGCGUAAAGCGUGUGUAGGCGGACGGGUAAGUACCUUGUGAAAUCCCACGGCUCAACCGUGGAACGGCUGGGUAUACUGCCCGUCUUGGGCCACCUAGGGGCAGACGGAACAAGUGGUGGAGCGGUGAAAUGCGUAGAUAUCACUUGGAACGCCGACGGUGAAAACAGUCUGCUGGGGGUGUGCCGACGCUGAGACACGAAAGCCAGGGGAGCGAACGGG